CAUAGCUGGCCAGCAGGGGGCGAUGUGUGCUUUCUGGACACUACAUGACUGAAUACGUCUGUCACCCAGACAUGAAGGUGAGGAGUAUGAUGCAUGUCAUCCCGCCUCUGACCUCUGACCUCUGCACAUUCUCUCCAUACAGUGAGGUCACAUGACCCCCAGCCUGCUUUUUAUCCACCGCUACAUGAAAUGAGAGCAGUUAGAAUGGAUGGAUGAUUUUAUCAACCUAUAAUUUAAAACCGGCUUCUAAACAAAGGAAGAGAUCUUGAGUUGUCCCUCUCAUCCUUAAGUGUCAGCCGGGCAGUUUCAAGUGUGGGCAGAAGAACAAGAAGAACUGAAAGGAUCCCAGCAAGUGAAAGUCAGCGGACCACUCGGCAUCAUUUCAGACGUUCAGCAUCGUAAUGUGUGGACAUACUCAGGUCAGAUCAGCGCUUCCAGCAGGGUAAGUGCUCUGCGGCACCUUUUAGCAGUCACGUGAUUUACAAGAACAGCUCUGGAAACCUACCCCGCCCCGUGCUGCUGGUCCACUGCUCAUCCAGACUUUACCCUGCAAGGACCCAAAGCCGGAGCGAUGCGCGCUGUGACAUCUGCGGCGCUCCUCGGCGUCCUGCUGGGCGUCUGUCUGCCGGCGGCCGCUGACGAAAUCACAGCUGAGACUGGACAGACUGUCACUCUGUCCUGUAGAGCUACACAGAGGACCAACAUCAUAGUUGUACAGUGGAGCAGAGCCGACCUGGAGACAGAAGGAUACGUCCUGCUGAAUCGAAAUAAUCGACCUGACUCAGCACAGCAGCUUCCAUCUUUUAGGGGUCGGGUGGAGCUGAAGGAGGGAUGGAAGGAGGAUGGAGACGUGUCUCUGAUCCUGAAGAAUGUGACGACUGCUGACAGCGGGAGAUAUGAGUGCAGAGUCGUCCAGGAAGGAACAACCCGCAGGAAGAGAGGCGUUCUUUUAGAGAAUGAACCCAUCAAGACUGUCAGUCUGUCUGUAGUUCAAGGUCACACAGAAGCACACAGCGGGGGAGAGGAGGAGGACAGGAGCAGUGGAGGACAUGUUGGACUGAUUGUUGGAGCCAUCGCUUCUGUUGGUCUGAUCCUUGCUGUUGGUCUGGUGAUCUUUAAAAGAUGCCAGAUGAAGAGCAGCCUUCACUCCUCCCCUGAAUCCUCCUCCCCCGAAUCCUUCUGAUGAAGCAGCUGGACAGCCUCUUGUCUGCAGUGAACAGGGGUGCAGCAAGCUUUAGAAAAGUGUGCAUUAGCUACAGAUAUCUACAGAUAUCUACACCUUCCAACAUCAACACUGCAAGCCAUUUAUGCCACUCACUCAUAUUCUUAAAAUUCACCUACAUUCUGUUCAGUACACCAUGUAUUGAUAAGUUGAAGAAAUAUAUUCAGAUAUAAUCAGAAUUCCUUUAUUUAGUAUGCCAUUUAAAUAUAUAAUAAAUAUCUAAAUACCUAGACAGCAUUUAAAUCCCUGAGUUGUAUCCAAACAACAUAUUUUACAGUAAAGAGCAGGACAUGAAUGCUCCAGUAUGAAUGUACAGUGUCUGAGAACUGUCACAGUUCAGAGUUCAGUAGUUUGAUGGAGACAGGAAUGACUUCCUGUGUCUCUCAGUGGUGCAUCAUGGGAGUCGGAGUCUGUUGCUGAACGAGCUCCUGUAGCUGGUCAGCACAGUGUGGAGCGGGUCAGAGGGACAGUCCAGUAUGGUCUUUACUUUGGACCACGUCCUCCUCUGACACACCUCUGUCACAGAGUCCAGGUCCUUAAACCGCUAACUGGCGGGUGCGCUGUGAUUGGCUGUAAGGUCUGUCACUCAAGCUACCUUGACCAAUGUGCGUUGCCUCCUGUAUGUGUGCACAAUCAGAGACAGGGAGUCUUCUCCACCGCUCUGUGGGGUCGUUCAUUCCCUUUCUCAGACGUCUUUCUGUGCACAUGGGCUGUUUAAAUAUGUUACAUCUCCAAAAACUGUGGGGGAUGAAAUGUGAUUUUAGAAAAGGUGUAGGUGUCACAUUCCCCACAUCUCCCACGGCUGCGACGCCCAUGGAAGUGAAGUACAGUAUAUACUCAAAGUUACAUGUCAGCUGCUGCUUGAUGCUCUGAGUUCCUGCUCUGCACAGAGGAUAUUUGCAGUGACCCAGUAGGUUCUGCUUGUCGGCACGUUAGCUUUGCCUGAAGGGUCCCACAGAAGGUGUAGUAGUGUCUUUGGGUCGUUAACCCUCGGGGCUUGUUUGGGCCUGAACGUGUACAUUUAGGGUUUUUUUUGUUUUCGUUUCUUAAAAUAUCGUCAGUUCAAAGGCUAAAUGUGUGAAACUUGGUCAAGAUGUUUUUUUGUAAUUUUCUUUAAUUUUUAAUUUUUCAAUUUAUGUUAUACUGUCCUGUUUCCACCUCAUAGACCUGAACGUAUGCCAUAAAUAAUAAUUAUAAUAAUAAUUAUAAUAAUAAUAAUAAUAAGGCCUAGAUCUCUUAUCUUGCAGAAUGCAAGAAUAUAAAAUAGCUGAACACCACAAAAAUGGUCUCAGUGUGUUGUGAAGAGUGUAAAAGAGAGGUUAGAAAGUGGCUGAAUAUACUGUGUGAGAGAAAGAGAAAUGAAUCUGUUAAUAAAUGAGUGUGUGUGAAAAUUCAUCCAAUAUUCCAGUAUGGACUCUGUGUACAAACGAGUGACGUUGGUGGUUAGAAAAUAUAUUUCUCAUGCAGGUCUCUCUCUCUCUCUGUGUGUUUUAAACAAUGGAUGCAGUGAUAAAACAUACCUGUGUGUAACAUUUUUAUCACACUUUUAUGAAAGGGAGGGACCUGUUUGGAGCCUAAGGGUAAAAAGUUUUCAUUUUUAAAAAUAAUCUCUUAUUACUUCAAUAAUAAUAAUGCAUCAAAAUCUAUUAUUGUUAUCAAUUAUCAAGGCUGUAAUGGCCUUAUACCAAGUAACCCUCUUGGCACCUCAAUUUUUUUAAAUAUUGCAUAUUUUGUGUUUUUCCAAUCGUAGGUUAUGAAAUACAUAAAGCAUAUAAACAUAAAAUAUUAGAAAUAAUUAAAAAAAACUUUUUAUGAAGUGUACACGCUUGGGUCCCGACAACGUUUGUGUUAAUGUUCCAGCCUCCUGCAGGAGGACCAUGCUAGUUAUGUGGGGACAGCCUGCUACAAACAGAAGAUGAGGGGUUGAAGAAGCCAUGUGAGUUCUGUUAAUACAAGUUUUGUAGAGAAGGACUGGUGACCUGACUUUUCCAGUGCAUGGUGUCUGCAGAGUAACAUACAGCUAGCAGCUAGCAGCUAGCAGCGCCCUUGGGCCAGUGGUCUGUGCGUAGGUGUAUAUGUGUAUAUGUAUACAUGUUGUUAAUCUGCUGUAUUUAAGUUUCUACUACGCUACAUUGUUCUGUUAGUUUGUGUUUUGACUAUAGUAAUUGCCAUGUGAGAAUGCGGAC
ensembl:lncRNA